rnacentral:tRNA from 1 species
GGGAAGAUAGCUCAGUGGUAGAGUGCUUGCCUUACAUGCAAUGAAGCCUUGGGUUCAAUUCCUCAGCAACACA